CGCUAGCUACAGGCUUAACACAUGCAAGUCGAGGGGCAGCAUGGUCUUAGCUUGCUAAGGCCGAUGGCGACCGGCGCACGGGUGAGUAACGUGUAUCCAACCUGCCUUACACUCUUGGACAGCCUUCUGAAAGGGAGAUUAGUACAAGAUGUUAUCAUGAGUAAGCAUUUUCACAUGAUUAAAGGUUUACCGGUGUAAGAUGGGGAUGCGUUCCAUUAGAUAGUAGGCGGGGUAACGGCCCACCUAGUCUUCGAUGGAUAGGGGUUCUGAGAGGAAGGUCCCCCACAUUGGAACUGAGACACGGUCCAAACUCCUACGGGAGGCAGCAGUGAGGAAUAUUGGUCAAUGGACGAGAGUCUGAACCAGCCAAGUAGCGUGAAGGAUGAAGGUUCUAUGGAUUGUAAACUUCUUUUAUACGGGAAUAAACGAAUCCACGUGUGGAUUUUUGCAUGUACCGUAUGAAUAAGGAUCGGCUAACUCCGUGCCAGCAGCCGCGGUAAUACGGAGGAUCCGAGCGUUAUCCGGAUUUAUUGGGUUUAAAGGGAGCGUAGAUGGGUUGUUAAGUCAGUUGUGAAAGUUUGCGGCUCAACCGUAAAAUUGCAAUUGAUACUGGCAGUCUUGAGUACAGUUGAGGUAGGCGGAAUUCGUGGUGUAGCGGUGAAAUGCUUAGAUAUCACGAAGAACUCCGAUUGCGAAGGCAGCUUACUAACCUGUAACUGACAUUGAUGCUCGAAAGUGUGGGUAUCAAACAGGAUUAGAUACCCUGGUAGUCCACACGGUAAACGAUGAAUACUCGCUGUAGGCGAUAUACAGUCUGCGGCCAAGCGAAAGCAUUAAGUAUUCCACCUGGGGAGUACGCCGGCAACGGUGAAACUCAAAGGAAUUGACGGGGGCCCGCACAAGCGGAGGAACAUGUGGUUUAAUUCGAUGAUACGCGAGGAACCUUACCCGGGCUUAAAUUGCAACCGAAUAUGGCGGAAACGCUAUAGCUAGCAAUAGCGGUUGUGAAGGUGCUGCAUGGUUGUCGUCAGCUCGUGCCGUGAGGUGUCGGCUUAAGUGCCAUAACGAGCGCAACCCUUGCCGAUAGUUACUAACAGGUUAUGCUGAGGACUCUGUCGGGACUGCCAUCGUAAGAUGUGAGGAAGGUGGGGAUGACGUCAAAUCAGCACGGCCCUUACGUCCGGGGCUACACACGUGUUACAAUGGGGGGUACAGAGGGCUGCUACCACGCAAGUGGAUGCCAAUCCCAAAAACCUCUCUCAGUUCGGAUUGAAGUCUGCAACCCGACUUCAUGAAGCUGGAUUCGCUAGUAAUCGCGCAUCAGCCACGGCGCGGUGAAUACGUUCCCGGGCCUUGUACACACCGCCCGUCAAGCCAUGGGAGCCGGGGGUACCUGAAGUGCGUAACCGCAAGGAGCGCCCUAGGGUAAAAC
rnacentral:rRNA from 1 species